UCUGGUAUAAAUUGGUGUAUAUUCACAUUACGUUACAGUUUAUUCAAGCCUUCGCCAUGAACGGAAAGAUUGUUUUCGUCGCUCUCUUAGUAUUGACGUCCUGUCUCAUUGCUACCGCUGUGGCUGAACCCAAUGCUUUUCCCGGCCAUGACUCCAUAAGCGUUAACCCUUCAAACGCAGCUCGUAACACUGAUACCCAAGGAACCCAAGGCCAGCAAAGACAGAAGAAACAAGGAAGCAUAUAAAUCACGUAGAGGACCCACAACGCAUCAAACAUGUGUUAACAUCAAUCGAUUUCAAUAAAAUAAACAGUAGAUUGUUAAUAAAAAUGUUUUUUACUAA